rnacentral:rRNA from 1 species
ACUCCUACGGGAGGCAGCAGUUAGGAAUCUUGGACAAUGGGCGCAAGCCUGAUCCAGCCAUGCCGCGUGAGUGAAGAAGGCCUUAGGGUUGUAAAGCUCUUUUGGCAGGGACGAUAAUGACGGUACCUGCAGAAGAAGCCCCGGCUAACUUCGUGCCAGCAGCCGCGGUAAUACGAAGGGGGCUAGCGUUGCUCGGAAUCACUGGGCGUAAAGCGCACGUAGGCGGCUUUUUAAGUCAGGGGUGAAAUCCUGGAGCUCAACUCCAGAACUGCCUUUGAUACUGGGAAGCUUGAGUCCGGAAGAGGUGAGUGGAACUCCGAGUGUAGCGGUGAAAUGCGUAGAGAUC